AGUAGUGUGAGCUGUGUGCCCGUCUCCUCUGACUGUGUGACUUUGCAUAUGUGUGCUGCCUCUCUGCUCCAGCCGUUAAGAGCCCAGUGCUGCUCAGUGUCUGUGCGGGCCCUUCAGAGCCACUCCCACACCAACAACACAAUGAGCCUGAUGUCCCUGCAGCUGUUCCUGCUGGCCCUGGGGCUCCUGGUUGGGGGUUCUUCAGGAGAAAUCAGCCUGACUCAGACUCCUAAAGCUGCAGCUGUGGACAAAGGGGCCUCUGUUACUCUCAGGUGUCAGACUAGUACAGGUAUUUCUAAUGAUCUGCACUGGUAUCUUCAGAAAGGCACAGAACCUCCAAAGCUCCUCAUACGUUAUGCUUCAACUCUUCAUGAUGGAGUCUCCAGUCGUUUCAGUGGAAGUGGUCGUGGGACAGACUUCUCUCUGAGCAUCAGUGGAUUUGAGGCUGAAGAUGCAGGAGUUUAUUACUGUCAGCAGAGUUACAGCAGACCGUUCACACAGUGAAAAAGACUCGUAC